rnacentral:rRNA from 1 species
AGAGUUUGAUCAUGGCUCAGGACGAACGCUGGCGGCGUGGAUUAGGCAUGCAAGUCGAACGGUAUAAACCUUUCGGGGUUUAGAGAGUGGCGAACGGGUGAGUAACACGUAGGUAAUCUACCCUCAAAACGGGGACAACCCAGGGAAACUUGGGCUAAUACCGGAUGCGUGCAAGCAAUGUUUUGGCUGUUAAUGCUAUUCACGGAAGUGAGUAGUGUUAAUGGUUGAGAGCAUUAUUUGCAUAAAAGGUGGCAUAUGCUGCCGUUUGAGGAUGAGCCUGCGUCCUAUUAGUUAGUUGGUGAGGUAAUGGCUUACCAAGGCGAUGAUAGGUAGGCGGCCUUAACGGGUGGUCGCCCACACUGGGAUUGAGAGACGGCCCAGACUCCUACGGGAGGCAGCAGUCGAGAAUAGUCUACAAUGGACGGAAGUCUGAUAGUGCGACGCCGCGUGAACGAAGAAUCCCUUCGGGGUGUAAAGUUCUUUUAUACGUGAGCAGUGCCCUUUAUAUGAAUAGUAUAGAGGGAGGGAUUUAAGCGUAUGAAUAAGCAACGGCUAACUCCGUGCCAGCAGCCGCGGUAACACGGGGGUUGCAAGCGUUGUCCGGAAUUACUAGGCGUAAAGUGCAGGUAGGCGGAUAGAUAAGUUUAAGGUUAAAGGCUACGGCUUACCCGUAGUAGGGCGUUAGAUACUGUUUAUCUGGAAUGCGGUUGAGGGAGACAGAAUUCCUGGUGUAGCGGUGGAAUGCGCAGAGAUCAGGAGGAAUACCGAAGGCGAAGGCAGUCUUCUAAGCCGAUAUUGACGCUAAACUGCGAAGGUGUGGGGAUCAAACAGGAUUAGAUACCCUGGUAGUCCACACAGUAAACGAUAAUCACUAGGUGUUGGGUUCGUAUAGGACCCGGUGCCGGAGCUAACGCGAUAAGUGAUUCGCCUGGGGGAGUACGAUCGCAAGGUUGAAACUUCAAUGAAUUGACGG